rnacentral:rRNA from 1 species
AUUGAACGCUGGCGGCAUGCCUUACACAUGCAAGUCGAACGGCAGCACGGGUGCUUGCACCUGGUGGCGAGUGGCGAACGGGUGAGUAAUACAUCGGAACGUACCUUAUCGUGGGGGAUAACGCAGCGAAAUUUGCGCUAAUACCGCAUACGCCCUGAGGGGGAAAGCGGGGGACCGUAAGGCCUCGCGCGAUUAGAGCGGCCGAUGUCUGAUUAGCUUGUUGGUGAGGUAAAAGCUCACCAAGGCGAUGAUCAGUAGCUGGUCUGAGAGGACGAUCAGCCACACUGGGACUGAGACACGGCCCAGACUCCUACGGGAGGCAGCAGUGGGGAAUUUUGGACGAUGGGGGCAACCCUGAUCCAGCAAUGCCGCGUGAGUGAAGAAGGCCUUCGGGUUGUAAAGCUCUUUUGUCAGGGAAGAAACAGCAGCUCUAACACAGUCUGUGAAUGACGGUACCUGAAGAAUGAGCACCGGCUAACUACGUGCCAGCCGCCGCCGUAA